CUCUCUCAAGUCCAAAGAAUUAAAGUUCUUUCAAUUUCAAUUCAAGAUCAAGUCUCUUAGACCCUUGAAUUGCACCUAAAGUUUGUUCUACAUCAAGUCUUUUCGACCAUUUAAUUAUAUUCAAGAUCAAGUCAUUUCGACCCUUGAAUCAUAUCCGCGACAACAAAGAGAAGAAUCAGAGAUAAUUUUCAUUGUCAUAAGAGAUUCCACAUAGAAAUUGUAUCCACUUCUUUAUAAAUACAAUUUAUAUUUUUGUAUUUUG
rnacentral:lncRNA from 1 species